CUUUCGGAUCUGAGAGAGCGGCGUACGGGUGCGGAACACGUGUGCAACCUACCUUUAUCAGGGGGAUAGCCUUUCGAAAGGAAGAUUAAUACCCCAUAAUAUAUUGACUGGCAUCAGUUGAUAUUGAAAACUCCGGUGGAUAGAGAUGGGCACGCGCAAGAUUAGAUAGUUGGUAGGGUAACGGCCUACCAAGUCAAUGAUCUUUAGGGGGCCUGAGAGGGUGAUCCCCCACACUGGUACUGAGACACGGACCAGACUCCUACGGGAGGCAGCAGUGAGGAAUAUUGGACAAUGGGUGAGAGCCUGAUCCAGCCAUCCCGCGUGAAGGACGACGGCCCUAUGGGUUGUAAACUUCUUUUGUAUAGGGAUAAACCUACUCUCGUGAGAGUAGCUGAAGGUACUAUACGAAUAAGCACCGGCUAACUCCGUGCCAGCAGCCGCGGUAAUACGGAGGGUGCAAGCGUUAUCCGGAUUUAUUGGGUUUAAAGGGUCCGUAGGCGGAUCUGUAAGUCAGUGGUGAAAUCUCAUAGCUUAACUAUGAAACUGCCAUUGAUACUGCAGGUCUUGAGUAAAGUAGAAGUGGCUGGAAUAAGUAGUGUAGCGGUGAAAUGCAUAGAUAUUACUUAGAACACCAAUUGCGAAGGCAGGUCACUAUGUUUUAACUGACGCUGAUGGACGAAAGCGUGGGGAGCGAACAGGA
rnacentral:rRNA from 1 species